rnacentral:rRNA from 1 species
UGGGGAAUUUUGGACAAUGGGCGCAAGCCUGAUCCAGCCAUGCCGCGUGUCUGAAGAAGGCCUUCGGGUUGUAAAGGACUUUUGUCAGGGAAGAAAAGGGCGGGGUUAAUACCCCUGUCCGAUGACGGUACCUGAAGAAUAAGCACCGGCUAACUACGUGCCAGCAGCCGCGGUAAUACGUAGGGUGCGAGCGUUAAUCGGAAUUACUGGGCGUAAAGCGGGCGCAGACGGUUACUUAAGCAGGAUGUGAAAUCCCCGGGCUCAACCUGGGAACUGCGUUCUGAACUGGGUGACUAGAGUGUGUCAGAGGGAGGUAGAAUUCCACGUGUAGCAGUGAAAUGCGUAGAGAUGUGGAGGAAUACCGAUGGCGAAGGCAGCCUCCUGGGAUAACACUGACGUUCAUGCCCGAGAGCGUGGGUAGCAAACA